rnacentral:tRNA from 1 species
GGCCCGUUGGUCAAGCGGUUAAGACACCGCCCUUUCACGGCGGUAACAUGGGUUCAAAUCCCGUACGGGUCA